rnacentral:rRNA from 1 species
ACGGAGGGAGCUAACGUUGUUCGGAUUCACUGGGCGUAAAGGGCGUGUAGGCGGUCCGCUAAGUCUGAUGUGAAAGCCCGGGGCUCACCCCCGGAAGGGCAUUGGAAACUGGCGGACUCGAGUCUCGGAGAGGAAGGUGGAAUUCCUGGUGUAGCGGUGAAAUGCGAAGAUAUCAGGAGGAAUACCGGUGGCGAAGGCGGCCUUCUGGACGAUGACUGACGCUGAGACGCGAAGGCGUGGGGAGCAAACAGGA